ACAAACUUGGUCAUUUAGAGGAAGUAAAAGUCGUAACAAGGUCUCCGUUGGUGAACCAGCGGAGGGAUCAUUACAGAGUUGUACUAAACUCCAAACCCUAUGUGAACUUACCACUGUUGCCUUGGCGUGUGCCGCGUGCUACCUUGUAGCACGCACUACGGCCCGCCAAAGGACCACUAAACUCUUUGUUUUUACUGUGAAAUAUCUGAAUGCUUCAAAACUUAAUAAGUUAAAACUUUCAACAACGGAUCUCUUGAUUCUGGCAUCGAUGAAGAACGCAGC
rnacentral:misc_RNA from 1 species